GACACCUCAACUACCCAUCACUGCGCUGACAUUUUGGCAGAAGAAGCUUGUACACAAAAUGUUCUGAAGGAUCAGCCUUGGCCUGGGAGUCUGAGCUGGUAUACAGACGGCAGCAGUUUUGUGGUUGAAGGUAAGAAGGAAAUUGUUCCAGGAUGCGAGUCAUCAUAGGGGCUUUUGUUCAUUUGGGGUGUGGCAACAGAUCCAUUACAUCACAGUAUGUGAUCUAAGAAACACCGGACAUUUCCAUACUGCAAACACCAGACAGAAGAAAAGAGACCAGCUACUCUAGGAUGUGACCAGCACCCAGCUUUCUCAAGACCCCCCUAAGACAACGCCCACAAGUAAGCAGAAGCAGUGCUGAAAAUCUGCCAUCCCAAUUCCUUUAACCUCUUCUGCCUAACGUCCCAUCUUUUUAUUAUAAAAAAAGAGAUGGGAAUGUAAUGGUCUGUCCUGUCCCUUUAAAAGACACUCCCCCACUUCUGCCAAGGCAAGUGGAUCUUCCUUCUGUUUCCAGCCUACACUAUCUCUGCCCCUGUCUCUCUCUUAGGAAGAGGUGGCUUCUGCCAUGGUUCCUCUCCUCUAUCCCCUUCCCACUUCCCUUUUCUCCCAUAACCCACGAAAUAAACUAUACCCAAACCCUCUCUA